rnacentral:rRNA from 1 species
UACGUAGGGUGCGAGCGUUAAUCGGAAUUACUGGGCGUAAAGCGUGCGUAGGCGGUUCGUUAAGUUCGUUGUGAAAGCCCCGGGCUCAACCUGGGAAUGGCAAUGGAAACUGGCGGGCUGGAGUAUGGCAGAGGGGGGUGGAAUUCCGAGUGUAGAGGUGAAAUUCGUAGAUAUUCGGAAGAACACCAGUGGCGAAGGCGGCUCACUGGCCCGGUACUGACGCUGAGGUGCGAAAGCGUGGGGAGCAAACAGG